rnacentral:rRNA from 1 species
UACGUAGGGGGGCAAGCGUUGUCCGGAAUCAUUGGGCGUAAAGCGCGUGUAGGCGGCCCGGUAAGUCCGCUGUGAAAGUCGGGGGCUCAACCCUCGAAUGCCGGUGGAUACUGUCGGGCUAGAGUGCGGGAGAGGCGAGUGGAAUUCCUGGUGUAGCGGUGAAAUGCGCAGAUAUCAGGAGGAACACCAAUGGCGAAGGCAGCUCGCUGGGACGGUACUGACGCUGAGACGCGAAAGCGUGGGGAGCGAACAGG